rnacentral:tRNA from 1 species
UGCAAGUCUGGCCGAGCGGUCUAAGGCGCUGCGUUCAGGUCGCAGUCCUCUUCGGAGGGCGCAGGUUCGAAUCCUGCGGCUUGCAA